rnacentral:rRNA from 1 species
GGGUUGUGAGGUUAAGCGACUAAGCGUACACGGUGGAUGCCCUGGCAGUCAGAGGCGAUGAAGGACGUGCUAAUCUGCGAUAAGCGUCGGUAAGGUGAUAUGAACCGUUAUAACCGGCGAUUUCCGAAUGGGGAAACCCAGUGUGUUUCGACACACUAUCAUUAACUGAAUCCAUAGGUUAAUGAGGCGAACCGGGGGAACUGAAACAUCUAAGUACCCCGAGGAAAAGAAAUCAACCGAGAUUCCCCCAGUAGCGGCGAGCGAACGGGGAGCAGCCCAGAGCCUGAAUCAGUGUGUGUGUUAGUGGAAGCGUCUGGAAAGGCGCGCGAUACAGGGUGACAGCCCCGUACACAAAAAUGCACAUGCUGUGAGCUCGAUGAGUAGGGCGGGACACGUGGUAUCCUGUCUGAAUAUGGGGGGACCAUCCUCCAAGGCUAAAUACUCCUGACUGACCGAUAGUGAACCAGUACCGUGAGGGAAAGGCGAAAAGAACCCCGGCGAGGGGAGUGAAAAAGAACCUGAAACCGUGUACGUACAAGCAGUGGGAGCACGCUUAGGCGUGUGACUGCGUACCUUUUGUAUAAUGGGUCAGCGACUUAUAUUCUGUAGCAAGGUUAACCGAAUAGGGGAGCCGAAGGGAAACCGAGUCUUAACUGGGCGUUAAGUUGCAGGGUAUAGACCCGAAACCCGGUGAUCUAGCCAUGGGCAGGUUGAAGGUUGGGUAACACUAACUGGAGGACCGAACCGACUAAUGUUGAAAAAUUAGCGGAUGACUUGUGGCUGGGGGUGAAAGGCCAAUCAAACCGGGAGAUAGCUGGUUCUCCCCGAAAGCUAUUUAGGUAGCGCCUCGUGAAUUCAUCUCCGGGGGUAGAGCACUGUUUCGGCAAGGGGGUCAUCCCGACUUACCAACCCGAUGCAAACUGCGAAUACCGGAGAAUGUUAUCACGGGAGACACACGGCGGGUGCUAACGUCCGUCGUGAAGAGGGAAACAACCCAGACCGCCAGCUAAGGUCCCAAAGUCAUGGUUAAGUGGGAAACGAUGUGGGAAGGCCCAGACAGCCAGGAUGUUGGCUUAGAAGCAGCCAUCAUUUAAAGAAAGCGUAAUAGCUCACUGGUCGAGUCGGCCUGCGCGGAAGAUGUAACGGGGCUAAACCAUGCACCGAAGCUGCGGCAGCGACGCUUAUGCGUUGUUGGGUAGGGGAGCGUUCUGUAAGCCUGCGAAGGUGUGCUGUGAGGCACGCUGGAGGUAUCAGAAGUGCGAAUGCUGACAUAAGUAACGAUAAAGCGGGUGAAAAGCCCGCUCGCCGGAAGACCAAGGGUUCCUGUCCAACGUUAAUCGGGGCAGGGUGAGUCGACCCCUAAGGCGAGGCCGAAAGGCGUAGUCGAUGGGAAACAGGUUAAUAUUCCUGUACUUGGUGUUACUGCGAAGGGGGGACGGAGAAGGCUAUGUUGGCCGGGCGACGGUUGUCCCGGUUUAAGCGUGUAGGCUGGUUUUCCAGGCAAAUCCGGAAAAUCAAGGCUGAGGCGUGAUGACGAGGCACUACGGUGCUGAAGCAACAAAUGCCCUGCUUCCAGGAAAAGCCUCUAAGCAUCAGGUAACAUCAAAUCGUACCCCAAACCGACACAGGUGGUCAGGUAGAGAAUACCAAGGCGCUUGAGAGAACUCGGGUGAAGGAACUAGGCAAAAUGGUGCCGUAACUUCGGGAGAAGGCACGCUGAUAUGUAGGUGAAGUCCCUCGCGGAUGGAGCUGAAAUCAGUCGAAGAUACCAGCUGGCUGCAACUGUUUAUUAAAAACACAGCACUGUGCAAACACGAAAGUGGACGUAUACGGUGUGACGCCUGCCCGGUGCCGGAAGGUUAAUUGAUGGGGUUAGCGCAAGCGAAGCUCUUGAUCGAAGCCCCGGUAAACGGCGGCCGUAACUAUAACGGUCCUAAGGUAGCGAAAUUCCUUGUCGGGUAAGUUCCGACCUGCACGAAUGGCGUAAUGAUGGCCAGGCUGUCUCCACCCGAGACUCAGUGAAAUUGAACUCGCUGUGAAGAUGCAGUGUACCCGCGGCAAGACGGAAAGACCCCGUGAACCUUUACUAUAGCUUGACACUGAACAUUGAGCCUUGAUGUGUAGGAUAGGUGGGAGGCUUUGAAGUGUGGACGCCAGUCUGCAUGGAGCCGACCUUGAAAUACCACCCUUUAAUGUUUGAUGUUCUAACGUGGACCCGUAAUCCGGGUUGCGGACAGUGUCUGGUGGGUAGUUUGACUGGGGCGGUCUCCUCCUAAAGAGUAACGGAGGAGCACGAAGGUUGGCUAAUCCUGGUCGGACAUCAGGAGGUUAGUGCAAUGGCAUAAGCCAGCUUGACUGCGAGCGUGACGGCGCGAGCAGGUGCGAAAGCAGGUCAUAGUGAUCCGGUGGUUCUGAAUGGAAGGGCCAUCGCUCAACGGAUAAAAGGUACUCCGGGGAUAACAGGCUGAUACCGCCCAAGAGUUCAUAUCGACGGCGGUGUUUGGCACCUCGAUGUCGGCUCAUCACAUCCUGGGGCUGAAGUAGGUCCCAAGGGUAUGGCUGUUCGCCAUUUAAAGUGGUACGCGAGCUGGGUUUAGAACGUCGUGAGACAGUUCGGUCCCUAUCUGCCGUGGGCGCUGGAGAACUGAGGGGGGCUGCUCCUAGUACGAGAGGACCGGAGUGGACGCAUCACUGGUGUUCGGGUUGUCAUGCCAAUGGCACUGCCCGGUAGCUAAAUGCGGAAGAGAUAAGUGCUGAAAGCAUCUAAGCACGAAACUUGCCCCGAGAUGAGUUCUCCCUGAC